rnacentral:rRNA from 1 species
URUGAUUGGGGUGAAGUCGUAACAAGGUAGCUGUAGGUAACCUGCAGAAGGAUCA